UACGAAGGGGGCUAGCGUUGCUCGGAAUCACUGGGCGUAAAGGGCACGUAGGCGGAUCUUUAAGUCGGGGGUGAAAGCCUGAGGCUCAACCUCAGAAUUGCCUUCGAUACUGGAGAUCUUGAGUCCGGAAGAGGUAAGUGGAACUGCGAGUGUAGAGGUGAAAUUCGUAGAUAUUCGCAAGAACACCAGUGGCGAAGGCGGCUUACUGGUCCGGUUCUGACGCUGAGGCGCGAAAGCGUGGGGAGCAAACAGG
rnacentral:rRNA from 1 species